AGGCAGCAGUGGGGAAUAUUGGACAAUGGACCAAAAGUCUGAUCCAGCAAUUCUGUGUGUUUGAUGAAGGCCUUCGGGUUGUAAAGAACUUUCAGUGGGGAAGAAGCAAGUGACGGGUACCCACAGAAGAAGCGACGGCUAAAUACGUGCCAGCAGCCGCGGUAAUACGUAUGUCGCAAGCGUUAUCCGGAAUUAUUGGGCAUAAAGGGCGUCUAGGCGGUCUAAUAAGUCUGAUGUGAAAAUGCGGGGCUCAACUCCGUAUUGCGUUGGAAACUAGUUAGACUAGAGUUUUGGAGAGGUAGGCGGAACUACAAGUGUAGAGGUGAAAAUUCGUAGAGAUUUGUAGGAAUGCCGAUGACGAAGGUAGCUUACUGGACAAAUACUGACGCUGAAGCGCGAAAGCUAGGGGAGCAAACAGGAUUAGAUACCCUGGUAG
rnacentral:rRNA from 1 species